GCAUGCGGCAGCUACACAUGCAGUCGAACGAAGUCUUCGGACUUAGUGGCGGACGGGUGAGUAACACGUGGGAACGUGCCUUUAGGUUCGGAAUAACUCAGGGAAACUUGUGCUAAUACCGAAUGUGCCCUUCGGGGGAAAGAUUUAUCGCCUUUAGAGCGGCCCGCGUCUGAUUAGCUAGUUGGUGAGGUAAAGGCUCACCAAGGCGACGAUCAGUAGCUGGUCUGAGAGGAUGAUCAGCCACAUUGGGACUGAGACACGGCCCAAACUCCUACGGGAGGCAGCAGUGGGGAAUCUUGCGCAAUGGGCGAAAGCCUGACGCAGCCAUGCCGCGUGAAUGAUGAAGGUCUUAGGAUUGUAAAAUUCUUUCACCGGGGACGAUAAUGACGGUACCCGGAGAACAAGCCCCAGCUAACUUAACGCCACCGGCCGCAGUAAUAAAAAUGCGGAAAAAGUUAAUCCUUAACUAGGCAUGGCUAG
rnacentral:rRNA from 1 species